rnacentral:lncRNA from 1 species
AGAUACUUGAAAAUGUCAUUGCGAAAACUGUUUCUAUCCAGGCUUAAGGACUCUCCACGGCUGGUAUCGAUCAAGAAAACAUAGUCCAGUUUGUGUUGGUUGACUAGUUCUGAGCACGGAUGGCACCUGUGCUGGAUUGUGGUUUAAAUACCCAGUGUCACUUCAUUGAAGAAAAUGGAUUUUUCCUCUGCCAGAAGUUAUCACUUUCAACUAGCUUCUUGGUUAAAGUGGAUUACAUUGAUGGAUUUCCAUAUACUGAACUAUCCCUGCAUCCCUGGCAUGAAACUUACUUGAUCCUGAUGGAUGAAUGUUUUGAUAUGUUCCUGGAUGCUGUUUGUGAGACUUUUAUUGAGUAUUUUUGCAUCAAUUUUCAUAAGGUCAAUUGGUCUGAAGUCCUCUUUCUUAGUUGGGCCUUUGUGUGGUUUAGAUAUGAAUUUAAUUGCAGCUUCAUAGAAUGAACAGGGUAGUGUUCCUUAUGUUUCUAAUUUCUGGAAUAGUUUGAAGAGUAUUGGUAUUAGGUCUUCUUAGCUAUUAAAAAGAAUGAAUUUAUGAAAUUCCUAGGCAAAUGGUUGGACCUGGAGGGCAUCAUCUUGAGUGAGGUAACACAAUCACAAAAGAACUCAAAUGAUAUGUACUCACUGAUAAGUGGAUAUUAGCCCAGAAACUUAGUAUACCCGAGAUAUUAGAUACAAUUUGCAAAACACAUGAAACUGAAGAAGAACGAAGACCAAAGUAUGAACACUUUGCCCCUUCUUAGAAUUGAAAACAAUCACCUAUGGAAGGAGUUACAGAGACAAAGUUUGGAGCUGAGACAAAAGGAUGGACCAUCUAGAGACUGCCAUAUCCAGAGAUACAUCCCAUAAUUAGCCUCCAAAUGAUGACACCAUUGCAUACACUAGCAAGAUUUUGCUGAAAGGACCCUGAUAUAGCUGUCUCUUGUGAGACUAGGCCGGGGCCUAGCAAACACAUAAGUAGAUGCUCACAGUCAGCUAUUGGAUGGAGCACAGGGCCCCCAAUGGAGGAGCUAGAGAAAGUAUCCAAGGAGCUAAAGAGAUCUGCAACCCUGUAGGUGCAACAACAUUAUGAACUAACCAGUACCCUGGAGCUCUUGACUUUAGCUGCAUAUGUAUCAAAAGAUGGCCUAGUCGGCCAUCACUGGAAAGAGAGGCCCAUUGGACACGCAAACUUUGUAUGCCCCAGUACAGGGGAAUGCCAGGGCCAAAAAAUGGGAAUGGGUGUGUAGGGAAGUGGGGGGGAGGGUAUGGGGGACUUUUGGGAUAGCAUUCUAAAUGUAAUUGAGGAAACUACGUAAUAAUAAAAAAUAUUUAAAAAAAAA